rnacentral:rRNA from 1 species
GACGAACGCUGGCGGCGUGCCUAAUACAUGCAAGUCGAACGCAAAACUUUCACCGAAUGCUUGCAUUCACGAAAGAUUUGAGUGGCGAACGGGUGAGUAACACGUGGGUAACCUGCCCAGAAGAGGGGGAUAACACUUGGAAACAGGUGCUAAUACCGCAUAAUAACAAAAACCGCAUGGUUUUUGUUUGAAAGAUGGUUUUGCUAUCACUUCUGGAUGGACCCGCGGCGUAUUAGCUAGUUGGUAAGGUAAAGGCUUACCAAGGAAAUGAUACGUAGCCGAACUGAGAGGUUGAUCGGCCACAUUGGGACUGAGACACGGCCCAAACUCCUACGGGAGGCAGCAGUAGGGAAUCUUCCACAAUGGACGAAAGUCUGAUGGAGCAACGCCGCGUGAGUGAAGAAGGUUUUCGGAUCGUAAAACUCUGUUGUUAGAGAAGAACGUGUGUGAGAGUAACUGCUCAUGCAGUGACGGUAUCUAACCAGAAAGCCACGGCUAACUAUGUGCCAGCCGCCGCCGUAA